UAGCUUGCAGUCAGCUGGUUUGUUUUCAGUCUUUCUCAUUCUUUCAGCACUUGGUCUUAAUUUUUAACAUCCUGAUUUCUCAUUUUACCAAAGGAUGCCUUAACCUCUUGGCGAUAACUUCUUAUUAUGAUAUCAGUGUAAAUAUUUGUUUGCAGUUUUAUUUAUUCAUUUUAUAUUACAAGACUAUUUACCCUUGAAGGUAUAACAUGUUUUGUACAUAAUUUCAGAGAGAAUGGCAGAAAUUAUGGAAGAAGAUAAAGUUACCAUUAAAGAAGAAAUCUCUACUGUAGAGGAUACAUGUACUGUUUAUGUAGUGGGAGAAGAUGUUAAAGAGGAAAGGACAGAAAAUCAAGGUGAAGUUGUCAAGAUUGAAGAAGAUCCCCUUUUCUCUGAACAAAAGAGACUAAAAAAGAGGAAGCUGACAGAUAAAAGAGAUAAAAGUUAUCUCUGUGGAAAAUGUGAUUAUGUGGCAACUCAAUCUAGUCAUUUGAAAAAACAUAUUAAAAGUAAACAUGAAGGAGCGAGAUAUCUAUGCGAUCAAUGUGAAUACGCUGCCACUCAAGCAGGUAAUCUGAAGAAUCAUAUUAAAUCUAAACAUGAAGAAGUAAGAUAUCCUUGUUCUCAUUGUGAAUACACUGCCACUACUGCAGGUAAUCUGAAGAAACAUAUUGGAAAUAAGCAUGAAGGAGUGAGAUAUCCCUGUUCUCAUUGUGAGUUCGCUGCAACUCAAGCAGGUGAUUUGAAGAUACAUAUUGAAAAUAAACAUGAAGGAGUGAGAUAUCCAUGCGACCAAUGUGAUCACGCUGCCACUACAGCAAGAUCUCUGAAGGAACAUAUUGAAAAAAAGCAUGAAGGAGUGAGAUAUCCAUGCGACCAAUGUGAUCACUCUGCCACUACAGCAAGAUGUCUAAAGAGACAUAUUGAAUCUAAACAUGAAGGAGUGAGAUAUUCAUGCGAUCAAUGCGAGUAUGCUGCAACAACAGCAGGUAUUCUGAAGAAUCAUACUGAAAAUAAACAUGAAGGAGUGAGAUACCCGUGCGAUCAAUGCGAGUACGCUGCCACUAGGGCAGGUAGUCUGAAGAUACAUAUUAAGAAUAUUCAUGAAGGAGUGAGAUAUCCCUGUGAUCAAUGUGAAUACAUAGCCACCCAAUCCUAUCAUUUAAAAACACAUCAAAAAAAGAAACAUUAAUUAAGAAAAACUGAUUGAGAAAAAGAGAAACUGAUUGAGUUGAAGUUGCUUUCACUUGAAGAAAGACGUGAGCGGGCCGACAUGAUUCAGACAUUUAAAAUAAUUCAUGGAUUCUGUGAUGUCAACCCUAAUACAUGGUUUAGAAAGAUCAACCACAACAGAGUGAUAAGAAUGGCUAAUGACCCUUUGAACUUGGAAAUACAAAACUCUAGGACCAGUAUCAGGAACAAUUUCUUCAGCUUGAGAAUUCCAAGAAAAUGGAACUCUAUCCCACAAGAAGUUAAACAGUCGACUACAGUGAAUAUCUUCAAGAGAAGCUAUGACAAAUUCGGACAGUAUCCAUGAGAUGCUGAUGCAAGAUUACCAGUCACAAAGUCUAUCAGAACCAUCAUCAGCAACUCAAAGUCUUCAAAGACAUUCUCAUUAUAACUCUACAUGGGUUCCUGAGGAUUAUUCAACAAUAAAACAAUAAUAAGAAGAAAGGCUUUGCAAUGUAAGCUUCAAAUUAUCACUUCUCUUCUAUUAAAAAAUUCUCUUAUUGUAGAAUUUAUUAUAUAAAUCUUUGUUCUAAUUGUAUAUUUUCUAUAUCAAACUCAACUGUGUUCUCCCGCUCCCCUCAUCAUUCUUAUUUUCUUAAAUAAUAUUUUUAUCAUUUUAACAUUUUUGCAAAAACUUUUUCUCUGACAAAUUUUAUCUUUGAAAAAAUGGAAAUUAAAAACAUUUUUUCAGUUUUAUGAAAUAACAAUUAUCAUGCUAAACUUUCAUGUAGAGGAUACAUGUACUGAAGAUACAGGAGUACAAGAAAUCUGAAAUCUGAGACAGCUCUUGUGUUCAAUCAAACAGUAUACUCUGGAGAUAUCGGAGCUGUGUUCAAUCAAAGAUUAUACUCUGGAGAUAUCGGAGCUGUGUUCAAUCAAAGAGUAUACUCUGGAGAAAUCAGAGCUGGUGUUCAUUCAAUCAAUGUACUCUGGAGAAAAUGGGGGUUGUAAUCAAUCAAUAAAUCCACUGUGAAGAUAUAAGAGAUGUAUUCAACCAAUCAAUAAAUCUUCUCUGAAGAUAUCAGAACUUUGUUUGUUCAAUUAAUCUACUUUGGAGACUUGGGAGCUGUGUUCAAUCAUUUUUCUACUUUGGAGAUAUUGGAACUGCGUUUAAUCAAUUAAUUUACUCUAGAUAUAUCGGAGCUAUGUUUAAUUAAUCAAACUACUCUGGAGACACCGGAACUACGAUGUUCAAUCAAUUAAUAUACUGUAUAAUAUGAGUGCUGUGUUUACUCAAUCAAUCAAUAAUUUUACUCUGAUUAUUGGAGCUUUGUCCAAUCAACCAAUGAUAUCAGAGCUGUGUUUAAUCAAUCAAUCAAUUAUUUUACUCUGAGUAUCGGAGCUUUGUUCAAUCAACCAAUGAUAUCAGAGCUGUGUUUAAUCAAUCAAUCAAUCUAUUCUGGUGGAGAUAUUGGAGCUGUGUUAAAUCGAUUAAUCUACUCUGGAGAAAUUAGAGCUGCAUUCAAUCAAUCAGAGUUUAGAUGUCAUCUUAAUUAUGUGAAAGAUUUAUAAAAAGUAGUCUUUUUAUGAACAGAUCAGCUGUUCAUGGGAUCUUUUCUAAAUGAGCUAAUCUGAUUUAGUUUAGUAUGUGUUAAUUAGUGAGGAGAAGAUUAUAAUCUUAUUGGAUUUGUAGUGGGGUUGUAAUUUGUUUUAAUGAUUGCAAAUCUCCCCCCACCCCCUCCCCUCUCUAGCUUGAAGCCUGGGGGAUAAAGUGUGAGGGAUAUGUUGCACAGUACGUCGGGGAAUGGAGGGGGGGAGUAGGUAGGACUGAUCAAUGGUCAUCUACCUUUUUGCUUCCUUAUCUCUCGGACCAGUUCGGUUCUGCUUGGCCUAGUACUUUUAAGUUGAUGCGGCCUGAUGUAGUCAUCUUCCUUCUUUCUUCCCUUAUCUUCCAGACUGGUUUGGUUCUGCUCAGCCCGGUAUCUUUCAAUUGUCACUGCCUGACCUAGCUUGCAGUCAGCUGGUUCAUUUUCAGUCUUUCUCUUUCUUUCAGCACUUGGUCUUAAUUUUUAACAUCCUGUUUUCUCAUUUUACCAAAGUAUGUUUUAACCUCUUGGCGAUAACUUCUUAUUAUGAUAUCAGUGUAAAUAUUUGUUUGCAGUUUUAUUUAUUCAUUUUA